rnacentral:rRNA from 1 species
AGCGAACGCUGGCGGCAGGCCUAACACAUGCAAGUCGAACGAACCUUUCGGGGUUAGUGGCGGACGGGUGAGUAACACGUGGGAACGUGCCUUUAGGUUCGGAAUAACUCAGGGAAACUUGUGCUAAUACCGAAUGUGCCCUGCGGGGGAAAGAUUUAUCGCCUUUAGAGCGGCCCGCGUCUGAUUAGCUAGUUGGUUAAGGUAAUGGCUCACCAAGGCGACGAUCAGUAGCUGGUCUGAGAGGAUGAUCAGCCACAUUGGGACUGAGACACGGCCCAAACUCCUACGGGAGGCAGCAGUGGGGAAUCUUGCGCAAUGGGCGAAAGCCUGACGCAGCCAUGCCGCGUGAAUGAUGAAGGUCUUAGGAUUGUAAAAUUCUUUCACCGGGGACGAUAAUGACGGUACCCGGAGAAGAAGCCCCGGCUAACUUCGUG